UACCAAGGGGAUGCCGCCGCUCGGGGCUUUUUCCAAGCACCGAGAGGAAAGUCCGGACUCUUCAAGGCAACAAUCCAUUGGAAACAAUGGGCUUGAAUAGGCGAAAGCCAUUCAAGACGGAGAGUGUCACAGAAAAAAUACCGCCCAAAAGAACUUUGGGUAAGGGUGAAAAGGCGGGGUAAGAGCCCACCGCAUGGAUGGUAACAUCCAUGGCAGGACAAACCCAUUGUGGAGCAAGGUCAAGCAGGGACAACGGUAGCCUUGCCAUUCUCAAAGUUAGAUUUGAGAUGUCCCAGGUAGACCGCACUGCUCCUUAAUGGAGCGGAUCCCUUAGGGAUAGACAGAUGGCGGCAAGUCCAGGAGACUGGAUUACAGAAUCCGGCUUAUUCCCCUCGGUAUCUU
rfam:Methylacidiphilum fumariolicum SolV, WGS project CAHT01000000 data, contig: 105-2114